GGGGGUGUUUUGGUUUUGACAAUUAAAAAAAAUUUCUAAGAUGCAGUGGUUUGGUAGACCAUAAUACCGAAAUAAUCAAAACGCAAAAAAUUCAAAAAAAUCUCCAAACGAAGCAAAAAUUGAUUACCCAUUUUUAUCAUAUAACCAAUUAAAUUUUGCAUACGUUUAAUCAAUUUAUUAUAAUAUAUCCUUAAAAAUUUAAAUUUUAUCAUGUAUACGGGCCUCCCAUUUCUGUAGCUUGAAAAAUAUUUAAAUUUAGAUAAUCAAACUUAUAAGAUUAUCCUCCUUAGUUUUAUUUAAGAAUGCUUACUCCUUUACUUAUUCUUAAUUUUAAAUAAACUUUUUAUUUCUAUAUAAAUUUAAACUGUCGACUCUAUUAAUUUUUUUUAUUUGGAUCGGGGUUCGAUUCCCCGCACCUCCACCA
rnacentral:tmRNA from 2 species